CGAAGGGGGCUAGCGUUGCUCGGAAUCACUGGGGCGUAAAGGGGCGCGUAGGCGGACUUUUUAAGUCGGGGGUGAAAACCCAGGGGCUCAACCCUGGAAUUGCCUUCGAUACUGAGAGUCUUGAGUUCGGAAGAGGUUGGUGGAACUGCGAGUGUAGAGGUGAAAUUCGUAGAUAUUCGCAAGAACACCAGUGGCGAAGGCGGCCAACUGGUCCGAUACUGACGCUGAGGCGCGAAAGCGUGGGGAGCAAACAGGAUU
rnacentral:rRNA from 1 species